GGCUCGGUAGCUCAGUUGGUAGAGCAGGGGAUUGAAAAUCCCCGUGUCGGCGGUUCGAUUCCGUCCCGAGCCACCA
rnacentral:tRNA from 24 species